AGUAAAAGUCGUAACAAGGUCUCCGUAGGUGAACCUGCGGAGGGAUCAUUACAAGUGACCCCGGUCUAACCACCGGGAUGUUCAUAACCCUUUGUUGUCCGACUCUGUUGCCUCCGGGGCGACCCUGCCUUCGGGCGGGGGCUCCGGGUGGACACUUCAAACUCUUGCGUAACUUUGCAGUCUGAGUAAACUUAAUUAAUAAAUUAAAACUUUUAACAACGGAUCUCUUGGUUCUGGCAUCGAUGAGGAACGCAGCGAAAUGCGAUAAGUAAUGUGAAUUGCAGAAUUCAGUGAAUCAUCGAAUCUUUGAACGCACAUUGCGCCCCCUGGUAUUCCGGGGGGCAUGCCUGUUCGAGCGUCAUUUCACCACUCAAGCCUCGCUUGGUAUUGGGCAACGCGGUCCGCCGCGUGCCUCAAAUCGACCGGCUGGGUCUUCUGUCCCCUAAGCGUUGUGGAAACUAUUCGCUAAAGGGUGUUCGGGAGGCUACGCCGUAAAACAACCCCAUUUCUAAGGUUGACCUCGGAUCAGGUAGGGAUACCCGCUGAACUUAAGCAUAUCAAUAAGCGGAGGAAAAGAAACCAACAGGGAUUGCCCUAGUAACG
rnacentral:rRNA from 1 species